CUAGGUCUGAGCUCAGUGAACUUUCUCUGUAAAGGGCCUGAUACUUUGCAGGCCAUGUGGGUUAUGGUGCAACUUUUAACUCUACCAUUAUAAUGUGAAAACAGCUACAGACAACAUGCAAAUGAACAAGUAUGGCUGCAUUCAAAUAAAACCUUGACUUACAGACACCAAAAUGAGCCCUAGGAAUUCGAAGCAAAUGCCCUAUGUUUGACUGCUGAACAAAGCCUUUUUUAAUCUACAGCACGCAGCUUUACCUUUAAUAGCAGCUUAAAGGACUCUUGAAAAUUACAGACAUCAUCUUAACUGAUCUGUCAUCUCCCAAAAAGGAAAUCCAACGUUGAGCGGGACUUAUUUCCCUUUAGUUCCAGUUUUAUUUCUGACUUGCUAUUUAUUCCUUAUGGCAAUUGGAUGAGGAGAGUAAAAUAUCAGAAGUGACCAGUGGACACAUUUCAUGAAAGAAUGAAGAAGCAUGGCAAACAAUGAAGGGGAGGACGUGAAGGAAGAGGCAGAGACACAGGAGGAGGGAGAAGCAGGCUCCAUGCUGGGAGCCCAACGCGGGAUUCAAUCCCGGGUCUCCAGGAUCAGGCCCUGGGCCGAAGGCGGUGCCAAACCACUGAGCCACCCAGGGCUCCCCGGUAUAUGUGUUGAUUUUGUGAAAAUGAGCUAAGCUGUAUGCUUAUUAUUCCUGCAAUUUCUGUAUGCACUUUAUACUUCAACAAAAAGUUGACAUGAUGCAAAAUGAUUUAUCUAUUUUUUUAAUAAAUUUAUUUUCUGUCGGUGUUCAAUUUGCCAACAUACAGAAUAACACCCAGUGCUCAUCCCGUCAAGUGCCCACCUCAGUGCCCGCCAGAUUUAUCUAUUUAGUAUCCGUCCCACCCACAAGUACAGGACCAUUCCUGGUUUGCUCACUUUAAUAUCAGCAGAUAUUUUGCAAGCUAUGCAAAAAUACAGUGCCUAACACAUUGCUUGUUGAAUGGCUGAUUAAUGAAUUUUUAAGAGAGUUUCUUUAAUACAGUGAUGCUUUUUUCCCCUCACCCUUAUCAGUGGAGUCACAUUUACCUGUGUUUUACCAAAUCUCUUUAUAUAGUGCAGGGCAAUUGUUUAGGUAGGUGCAGAGGGGAGAAUGGAGAGCAUAAUGCAGUAAGGAACUGGAAUUUUCUAUUUCUCAUUCACCGUGCCAGGCACUGUUCUGAUACCUUUACACGUAUAAGUCACUGAAUCCUCACAACCACUAACAAGAUACCUCACAAAUGAGGCAGCAGAUGAGGCCACUGAGGUUUAGAAAGGCCUGAUAACACAGAGAAUAAAACUGCCCGCAUUCAAACCCUGAAUAGGAGCUGAAUCCUGCAGGACACUGUGAACAUAGGGGGCACUUGAAAAAUAUCUGUGGAAGGAGCCCAUGGUGGACCUCUCCAUAGUCCCUUAUUUUCCUCCUCCCUGCUCCCCAGUCAUAAUUACAUACGAAACUUCUGGUCUCAGUGGUGAAGCUGGAGGAGCUGAGGGAAGGAGGGCCAGGGAGCCUUUUCAUCCAGACUUCCAGAUUUGAGAGAGUCUCAGAGACUUGGCAUCAUUCCCAAAGGAGCCUAUACUAUACGUGCAGUAGCAUUCACUCCUGUGACUGGAAGGAGUCCUUCAUCACACUCUCUUAAGUUUGGGUCACCUUCUCUCUAGCACAGCCUACAUCGCUUAUAAAUGCUAUAACCUUUUGAAAAACAAGAUAAACGUGUGGCACUUACGUAAAUGCAUUUGUUUACGGGGCACCUGGGUGGCUCAGGUCGUGAUGUCAGGGUCCUGGGAUCCAGUCCAGAGUCCAGUGUAGGGCUCCCUGCUCAGCGGGGAGCCUGCUUCUCCCUCUCCCUCUGCCCCUCCCCAUGCUUAGGCUCUCUCGUACUGUACUCUGUCAAACAAGUAAAAUCUUUUUAAAAAAUGCAUGGGUUAAAAAAUAAAAAAUGCAUGUGUUAAAAAUUACUAAUUUUUUUUCUAACUUUAACGUCUGUGUGGAAAAUAUGCAGCACAAUGUUUGCAAUUCUGUUUUGGCAUUUCACUUUGCAGCAUACCAGGAGUAUUAAAAGAAGAAAAAAAGUAGAAGUGGCUGGGGCACUUUAGCUUCAGAGAGACCCUGGCUAUCGCACAAGCAGUUUUCUGUGUGCACAGCAGCAUUUUAUCUCCUGCCAACCCCGGGUGUAACCACUGCUACAAGGGGAGAGACAAAAGGGGAGCCCUCAGGCUAAUUUCAGUCACUGAAACCCACAGAAAACUGAAAGCUUCAUUUAGUUUCAACUUUUUACCCUGCAAGUCUCGUUCCUGGGGUGGCUUUUAAAUAGCAACAGAAAUGCUUGAUUUUACUUUCACUUCCUUCCUUCCCCAUCACCAGCUACUGGUGGAGGUUCUGGUGAGGUUUUGCUGACAAAGGCAAACACCACAAAACCUCUCAGUUCAUUCAGUUCCCUUCAGUCCUUUGGGAGACCCGUCAACAGCAAAAGUGACUCUUUCUUGACCAUCAUGGUGACUGAGCCCCCUCCAAAAGUAGAAGUGACUUGUCCUUGGUCUCAGAACUACUAACUGGCAAGCAUGGAUCUCAUCAUCCCCCAGGAUGGAGAGAGGAAACAUGAUACAGCCCGUGAACUGAGCUACGUGCUAUUGCCUUCAAAUUGCUUGGCUUAUCAGUGCCUCCACCUUCAAUUCCAUGAAAAAUACAAAAAAAAAAAAAUUUAAAUUUCAACUUGGCAUUUUUACCAUUUUCACCUACUGAAAAAAUUAAUCCAUUUAAACUUCUUUUAUUGUGCACUUUAAGCCUGUAGAACUGUCUUGUGUGAACCAGGUGAAGGAAUUAAUUUUCAUUUGAUGCAGAAAUCAAAAGGAAGGAAAACAUUUGGUAGAAGAUGAAACCGUGUUAUUUC